CAAAGGCUUGGUCCUGACUUUACUGUCAGCUUUAGCUAGAUUUACACAUGCAAGUAUCCGCCCCCCUGUGAGAAUGCCCUUAGUUCUCUGUUCGAGAACAAGGAGCCGGUAUCAGGCACACUCCUCUAAGCCCACGACACCUUGCCCAGCCACACCCUCAAGGGAAUCCAGCAGUGAUAAAUAUUAAGCCAUAAGUGAAAACUUGACUUAGUUAAAGCUAAGAGAGCCGGUAAAACUCGUGCCAGCCACCGCGGUUAUACGAGAGGCUCAAGUUGACAGACAACGGCGUAAAGAGUGGUUAAGGAAAAUACCAAACUAAAGUCGAACAUCCUCAGAGCUGUUAUACGCUUCCGAAGAUAUGAAGUUCAACCACGAAAGUGACUUUACUACCCCUGAACCCACGAAAGCUAAGGAACAAACUGGGAUUAGAUACCCCACUAUGCUUAGCCCUAAACAUUGAUUGUUUACUACACCAAACAUCCGCCCGGGAAUUACGAACAUCAGUUUAAAACCCAAAGGACUUGGCGGUGCUUAACAUCCACCUAGAGGAGCCUGUUCUAGAACCGAUAACCCCCGUUCAACCUCACCCUCCCUUGUCUUUUCCCGCCUAUAUACCACCGUCGUCAGCUUACCCUGUGAAGGAAAAAUAGUUAGCACAAUUGGCACAGCCCAAAACGUCAGGUCGAGGUGUAGUGCAUGAGAGGGGAAGAAAUGGGCUACAUUCGCUAGCACUAGCGAACACGAAUGAUGCAUUGAAACAUGCAGCUGAAGGAGGAUUUAGCAGUAAGUAGGAAGCAGAGUGUUCUACUGAAACCGGCUCUAAAGCGCGCACACACCGCCCGUCACCCUCCCCAAGCCCCUGGACUAACUUUAAAUAAAACCCUACAAACGCGAAGGAGAGGAAAGUCGUAACAUGGUAAGCGUACCGGAAGGUGCGCUUGGUAAAAU
rnacentral:ncRNA from 1 species